rnacentral:lncRNA from 1 species
GAAAGAAGACAGGAAACAGAUCACGCUGAGUUUUUACUGCAAGAAACCUAUGAAAAGUACCCAUUACUAAUAGCACUCAGGAGAAUAGAAGAGAUGGAAAUAAAGGAGGCAAGAAUGGUUUACAGAUCCAGCUGAAACCGAAUGGAAGGAAAGGCAGUGGAUUUCAUCAAGAUCCUACAGACAAGGUGUAAGAUCUGUAAUUUCGAAAGGACAUAUACACAAACUCAUUCAGCCACAUUCCAGUCUAGAAUUAACAUGAAGAAAAUCUAUUAACAAUGGUAAAGCUUUUUUCCUCUCCAAAUGAAUAUGGCAAUACCCAUUCUGGAGAACUCUUAUUCUCUGUUGAAAUAACACCACUUUUCUAUAUGGCCAUCUAGCAAUAAAUAUAAAAAUGGUUAAUUUGCA